ACCUAUGGCCAUGCCACCCUGAACGUGCCCAAUCUCGUCUGAUCUCGGAAGUUAAGCAGGAUUGGGCCUGGUUAGUACUUGAAUGGGAGACCACCUAGGAAUACAGGUGCUGUAGGCA
rnacentral:rRNA from 1 species